rnacentral:rRNA from 1 species
CCUACGGGUGGCAGCAGUGGGGAAUAUUGGACAAUGGGGGGAACCCUGAUCCAGCGACGCCGCGUGAGUGAAGAAGUAUCUCGGUAUGUAAAGCUCUAUCAGCAGGGAAGAAAGAAAUGACGGUACCUGACUAAGAAGCCCCGGCUAACUACGUGCCAGCAGCCGCGGGAAUACGUAGGGGGCAAGGGUUAUCCGGAUGUACUGGGUGUAACGGGCGCGUAGACGGCUGCGCAAGUUUGAAGUGAAAGGCGGGGGGCCAACCCCCGGACUGCUUUGGAAACUGUAUAGCUAGAGUGAAGGAGAGGUAAGUGGAAUUCCUAGUGUAGCGGGGAAAUGCGUAGAUAUUAGGAGGAACACCAGUGGCGAAGGCGGCUUACUGGACUGUAACUGACGUUGAGGCUCGAAAGCGUGGGGAGCAAACAGGAUUAGAUACCCGAGUAGUC